rnacentral:misc_RNA from 2 species
AAGUCGUAACAAGGUUUCCGUAGGUGAACCUGCGGAAGGAUCAUUAUCAAUUUUACAGUCCUGGGAUGGGGGUAAAAACUCCAUCCCAUGCUGUUCAACCCUUUGUCUUUUGCGUACUGUAUGUUUCCUCGGCGGGUUCGCCCGCCGAUAGGACACUUCAAAACCUUUUGUAAUUGCAAUCAGCGUCAGAAAAACUAUAAUAGUUACAACUUUCAACAACGGAUCUCUUGGUUCUG